rnacentral:rRNA from 1 species
GGACGAACGCUGGCGGCGUGCCUAAUACAUGCAAGUCGAACGGUCUUUCUAUGGAAGCUUGCUUCCACUGAGAAGAUAGUGGCGAACGGGUGAGUAACACGUGGGUAACCUGCCCAUAAGAGGGGGGAUAACAUCCGGAAACGGGUGCUAAUACCGCAUAGUUUUCUUGAUCGCAUGAUCGGGAAAGGAAAGACGGCCUUUGUGCUGUCGCUUAUGGAUGGACCCGCGGCGUAUUAGUUAGUUGGUGAGGUAACGGCUCACCAAGACGAUGAUACGUAGCCGACCUGAGAGGGUGAUCGGCCACAUUGGGACUGAGACACGGCCCAAACUCCUACGGGAGGCAGCAGUAGGGAAUCUUCCGCAAUGGACGAAAGUCUGACGGAGCAACGCCGCGUGAGUGAAGAAAAGGGUUCUCGGAUCGUAAAACUCUGUUGUCAGAGAAGAACAAGUUGGAGAGUAACUGCUCCAGCCUUGACGGUAUCUGACCAGAAAGCCACGGCUAACUACGUGCCAGCCGCCGC